UAAUAGUAAAAAAUAAACGAGGGCGAUACGUUAUGUUUACUUUUGUUUCUGAUGCCAGACAUGGGUUCAGAGGAUUGAAGAGGGAGAUCCAAGGAGCUAGCCUCUCAAGAGGAGUGAAUACCUAGUCACUGAGUGAUUUUCUGAAUGCAGUUAUGGGCAGUGCAGGAUACUGAAGAAGACGCUCUGCUGACCAGAGGAGUGGGGAAAUUACAGAACAAAUUCCACAGCAUUUCUCCAUUUGAUCUGGCCACCUUUUAAGUGGUCAUAAGCCACAUGUGGCUACUAGCCAUGGGACUUGGACAGCAGAGGUGUGGAAAAUCCACACA